CAAACGGCCCUUUUCAGGGCCAACAAAUUCAUAACGAAAGAGUUGU
rfam:Culex pipiens quinquefasciatus supercont3.1351 genomic scaffold, whole genome shotgun sequence.